GUCGGUUCGCAAGGAAAACCAUUUACACCCGAUCUCACAUCUCUAACCCUUCUCUUUUUCUUCUCUUCUCUGUUAUUUCAUUCCCUACCGUCGACUUCAAUCUCUAGCCACUUCAAGCUAAGAUUUCCUUGCCGUCGAUGAAAAUGACCUCCAGAGAUUUCCAGGGUAACUAGAUUUCAAGAGGAGAAAAAAGACUCUGCACCUUAGGUGUCAGCCGUACAACCACUGCUUCCUUGUCGAUGAGUCUCUAAUCUUUUCAGCGUUAGGAAUGGAGAGAAACAUUGUUGCCAGCUGAAAUUUUGGAUGCAAAGGCAGAGAAUGGUAGACUAAACUUGAUUGUGAAGCAGCGGCAAGAGUUUAUGCAUAGAUGAUGGCACACCAAGGUAACGGAACAUCCUCUCAAACAUCCGCUCCUACUCCCUGUUCGAUCCUGACCAGACGGCGAUGAAAAUACAAAUGAUGAGUUGGAGAGUGUAGUUUGAUAUGCUUUACAGAAGAUGAUGCCACAUUUUAUUUAACUUGUGGAACUCAGUACAUAUUAUACUUAAAUUAGAUAUUACUAAUGCAAUUUUUGACAUUUUAAAGCACUUUUAGUUUUAAUUAUAAUUUUAAUGAUUAAGUUGAUAGUUAUUUUUAUAUAUAAUUGAUUAUAUUUGUGUUGA